UACGUAGGGUGCGAGCGUUAAUCGGAAUUACUGGGCGUAAAGGGCGCGUAGGCGGCUGAUCAAGUCAGGUGUGAAAGCCCACGGCUUAACCGUGUGAAGUGCAUCUGAAACUGGUCGGCUUGAGUAUCGGAGAGGGUAGUGGAAUUCCCAGUGUAGCGGUGAAAUGCGUAGAUACUGGGAGGAACACCGGUGGCGAAGGCGGCUACCUGGACGGGUACUGACGCUGAGGCGCGAGAGCUGGGGGAGCAAACAGGAUUAGAAACCCGAGUAGU
rnacentral:rRNA from 1 species